rnacentral:rRNA from 1 species
GACGAACGCUGGCGGCGUGCCUAAUACAUGCAAGUAGAACGCUGAAGGGAGAGCUUGCUCUUCUGGAUGAGUUGCGAACGGGUGAGUAACGCGUAGGUAACCUGCCUGGUAGCGGGGGAUAACUAUUGGAAACGAUAGCUAAUACCGCAUAACAUUGACUAUUGCAUGAUAGUUAAUUGAAAGGUGCAAAUGCACCACUACCAGAUGGACCUGCGUUGUAUUAGCUAGUUGGUGGGGUAACGGCUCACCAAGGCGACGAUACAUAGCCGACCUGAGAGGGUGAUCGGCCACACUGGGACUGAGACACGGCCCAGACUCCUACGGGAGGCAGCAGUAGGGAAUCUUCGGCAAUGGACGGAAGUCUGACCGAGCAACGCCGCGUGAGUGAAGAAGGUUUUCGGAUCGUAAAGCUCUGUUGUAAGAGAAGAACGAGUGUGAGAGUGGAAAGUUCACACUGUGACG